UGUUUCAGUGGAGUCCAACUAACUGCAGUGUCACAGGUCUGAAGAGAGCUGAUCAGUAGACAAAGUAAAGGCUGGAGCCUGCAAACACUGAAGUCAACAUGAGGUGUCUGUUGCCAGGUUCUGUCCUGUCCCUGCCAGGUUUACAGGAUCAGCCCAUAUGUCUCACAGGAUGGGAAAUGGUAACAUCGUGAUGAUGCUACAGGUCCAAACCUUUGGCUGAACACUAACAACCUACACUGAUUGAAAAUCUGGAUACCUGUAGUAAUAAAA